UGGGGAAUCUUGGACAAUGGGGGCAACCCUGAUCCAGCCAUGCCGCGUGAGUGAUGAAGGCCUUAGGGUCGUAAAGCUCUUUCGCCUGUGAAGAUAAUGACGGUAGCAGGUAAAGAAACCCCGGCUAACUCCGUGCCAGCAGCCGCGGUAAUACGGAGGGGGUUAGCGUUGUUCGGAAUUACUGGGCGUAAAGCGCACGUAGGCGGACCAGAAAGUUGGGGGUGAAAUCCCGGGGGCUCAACCCCGGAACUGCCUCCAAAACUAUUGGUCUAGAGUUCGAGAGAGGUGAGUGGAAUUCCAAGUGUAGAGGUGAAAUUCGUAGAUAUUUGGAGGAACACCAGUGGCGAAGGCGGCUCACUGGCUCGAUACUGACGCUGAGGUGCGAAAGUGUGGGGAGCAAAACAGGAUUAGAUACCCUGGUAGUCCACACCGUAAAACGAUGAAUGCCAGUCGUCGGGUAGCAUGCUAUUCGGUGACACACCUAACGGAUUAAGCAUUCCGCCUGGGGAGUACGGUCGCAAGA
rnacentral:rRNA from 1 species